rnacentral:rRNA from 1 species
AGCAGCCGCGGUAAUUCCAGCUCCAAUAGCGUAUAUUAAAGUUGUUGCAGUUAAAAAGCUCGUAGUUGAAUUUCGGGAUCAAUACGUCGGUCGUGCUUUCGGGUACGUACUGGCGUCAUUGGUUUCUCCUUUCUGACGAACCAUGAUGUCAUUAAUUUGGUGUUAUGGGGAGUUAGGACUGUUACUUUGAAAAAAUUAGAGUGUUUAAAGCAGGCAUUAGCUUGAAUACAUUAGCAUGGAAUAAUGAAAUAGGACGUUCGAUCCUAUUUUGUUGGUUUCUAGGAUCAACGUAAUGAUUAAUAGGGAUAGUUGGGGGCAUUAGUAUUCAAUUGUCAGAGGUGAAAUUCUUGGAUUUAUUGAAGACUAACUACUACGAAAGCAUUUGCCAAGGAUGUUUUCAUUAAUCAAGAACGAAAGUUAGGGGAUCGAAGACGAUCAGAUACCGUCGUAGUCUUAACCAUAAACUAUAGCCGACUAGGGGAUCGGAUGAUGUUAAUUUUUUUAAUUGUACUCAUUCGGC